rnacentral:rRNA from 1 species
GAUGAACGCUGGCGGCGUGCCUAAUACAUGCAAGUCGAGCGAACGGACGAGAAGCUUGCUUCUCUGAUGUUAGCGGCGGACGGGUGAGUAACACGUGGAUAACCUACCUAUAAGACUGGGAUAACUUCGGGAAACCGUAGCUAAUACCGGAUAAUAUUUUGAACCGCAUGGUUCAAAAGUGAAAGACGGUCUUGCUGUCACUUAUAGAUGGAUCCGCGCUGCAUUAGCUAGUUGGUAAGGUAACGGCUUACCAAGGCAACGAUGCAUAGCCGACCUGAGAGGGUGAUCGGCCACACUGGAACUGAGACACGGUCCAGGCUCCUACGGGAGGCAGCAGUAGGGAAUCUUCCGCAAUGGGCGAAAGCCUGACGGAGCAACGCCGCGUGAGUGAUGAAGGUCUUCGGACCGUAAAACUCUGUUAUUAGGGAAGAACAUAUGUGUAAGUAACUGUGCACAUCUUGACGGUACCUAAUCAGAAAGCCACGGCUAACUACGUG